rnacentral:rRNA from 1 species
CUGAGAAACCCGAAAGAUCGAAUGGGGAGAUUCAUCGUCAGCGCGGCCGGCUUCCGUGCGGUGCGCGAUGCCUGCGGAAUGUUUGUCCCUAGCGGGCAGUUUCGCGUUGGCACGCGUCCGCGGCGGUAUGACCGGUCUCGUCGGCGUGCACUUCUCCCCUAGUAGAACGUCGCGACCCGCUGGGUGUCGGUCUACGGGCCGGGAUGCUGGACUGUGCCGUUGGCGGUCAACGCCGACGGAGGCAGGCGCCCGGUUGGUUGUACCGAAGCCCGACCGACUGCCCGGCGGUAAUCCGUAAACGGUAUCGAGCCGCAAACUUUGAACUGCGUUCGGGCCCGUGGCAAGCUCGACCACCGACCUCGGAGGUGCGGACCCGGUGCCGUCCCCGGGUCUGGUCAGCUGUUGGCAUGCACGGUGUCCCUCGAACAGGCUCCGCCUAACUAUGGCGUUUACCGGUCGGCGACGCUAUCGCUUUGGGUACUUUCAGGACCCGUCUUGAAACACGGACCAAGGAGUCUAACAUGUGCGCGAGUCAUUGGGACUUAUUGAAACCUAAAGGCGCAUUGAAAGAGAAGACGGUCGGCGUAAGUCGACCCGAGUGGGAGGAUGGGCCGCGUCUCGAUGCGGCCUCGCACUCCCGGGGCGUCUCGUGCUCAUUGCGAGCUGAGGCGCACCCAGAGCGUACACGUUGGGACCCGAAAGAUGGUGAACUAUGCCUGGUCAGGACGAAGUCAGGGGAAACCCUGAUGGAGGUCCGUAGCGAUUCUGACGUGCAAAUCGAUCGUCGGAACUGGGUAUAGGG